ACAAAGAAAAGGAGGGGAGGAAGACAGAGAACACACACACACACAUGCUUAUACAGGCAUACACACAAGUGCGUGGGAUGCACAUGUGUACCUGAGCAUGUGGAGGUCAGAGAUUCCCCAUUUGCCAUCCUAAUUUUUUCAGGCAGACUAGUCUCUCCUGGAAUGCAAAGCUUACUAAUUCAACUAGACAGGCUAGCCAUAAGCUCUAGGAAUCCUCCUGCCUCUGACGUUAGAGACUGGCAUCCCCAUAUCCAUCUCACAUGGGUCCUGGGGAUCUGAUCUGAGGUCCUCAUACAUACAUAGCAGGUGCUUUCCCAACUGUGCCAUCUCACCAUUUCUGAGCUGUCAUCGAAAUACCUAUAGCCUAUAGGAACAAUGUAAGGGGGAGAUUAAUUUCUGGUCACUGUUCAAGAGAUUUCACCGCAGAUACUUGGCUCUGCUGAUUCUGGGCCUGUGGUUGGGAUUUGCCUGAUGAGAUAUCAUCUCCUCCCAGAGUCUCCCCUGCUCCUCUUCUGAGUCGGGACUACACAUACAUACACACACACACACACACACACACACACACACACACACACACACACACAGCAGCAGCAGCAGCAGCAGCAGCAGCAGCAGUCUCCCUCCCAGCACAGUGCCUCUCCUUUCUGGCUCUCCUAUUAGUGAUGUGUUUUUCCUUGUUUCCAAGUUUAAUGCCUUGUUCUGUUCUAUAGUUGUAAGCUUCUCAGGGGCUACAAGAACACAGCCUCUUUCUUCUUUCCUCUGCCCCUUCCUCUCUCACUCUUCUCCUGUCUCCCUUACCCCUCCUCCCCCCUGCUUUUCUUCCUGUUGUACAGUCAUUGCCCUUCCUUAGCACCUAGCAAGUGCAGGUUGCACAGUCAGUCCUUUGUAUGUGCAUUUUGAAUAAAUGAAUGAGUAGAAUGAUGAAUCUUGCUCAUAUCAUUUCUUCAUUGAAACUUGCCACUCCUGAUAGGAGCCCACUGUGUCCAUGGGUGGACCACAUCUCCCUACUCCUUCACAGUCCCUGCCUCUCUCUUCAGACUCUGUCACUUCCAAUAUCAUCUCUGUGGCUCAUUGGCCAGCACAGUCUGGCUAACACGUGGCUACUUCAGGCCUUCUUCAGAUGGCCCUUCUUUGGGAAUGCCUCUCUAUUGCUCCCGCUACCUGGUUGGUUCUUUCCCUCCAUGCUUCUCUUCCAGCCUCCCUUGAUCUCCAAUAAAUGUCAACUCUCCUUCCUACUUUAGUGCAUCUCAGUUCUGAUCCUCCAAGCUCAAGGAUUGGCACCCGGGUGGACCACUAAAAACAAUUUGGCAGGAAUCCCAGCAUAGACCAUGCCCCCACUCGAGUUUCUUCGGCUGUGAAAUGGGCUCAUCAGAGCACCUCAUGUGGGUGUCAUGGCAACAGAAUGAGCCACCUGCAAAACACUAAGAAAGAUGAGUGAAAUGUUUAAGUGCCAUGACAAUGACAAUUAUUCCUCAUGACUGGGUUGUCAAAGCCAGAUCCAUAACACACGCUCAGUGACUGAAUGAGGCAGAUUGGGAACACCAAUCCCUGCACUUGCCCAACAUCACCAAUUGUCCUCAUUUCGAUUCCAGAAGGCUCUAAGUGGCAAUCCCUAUGGCUACGAGCCUUGUUUAUAUCUGUCAAUGGCCAGACUUCUAGAGAAGAGAUGCUUUAUUUCUCUGAGUCACUUAAUAAACACCAAGGACUUGGCAGUGUUUAGCAGUUAAUUAGGAGUGAUGUAUACUCCUUUCCUGGAAGUCAAAGCGCAUAAAACCCAGCCCCCACCAAAACGGAACCUGAACUUUAAAUCAAGUCCCUCAAAUUAAAUGCAAAUAAUAUUCAUAAUUGUUGCCUCGUUUUGUCAUUUUAAGAAUUCCUUGACAAUGAAAUGUAAAAGGUGGUCACAUGAACCGCAGAGGUUGCGCUCCAGGCUUGUAUAUCUUCAUGUUCGUCAUCGCAGCGAAUGUGUAAUUGAAAUGACGUGCUUCUGCCUCCUGAUCCAGCUCCAAAGAUGGAAAUGCAGACUGCUUCAAAACAGCUAAAGAACAAACAAACAAACAAAACAAGCAGUCACAGAAAGAGCCACUUGCAAAAAAAACUCGUCUGUUUAUUCAUUUUUAAAUAAUAAUAUAACAUGAACAGCCAACCUCUCAGAAGCCUGAGUUUCUAUCUAUGACUUACAAGAGCCUUGGCAUUCUAUUGGACAAGUACUUUGAUGAUAUCCUGAGUAACAGAGCCCAAAGCAGUGGUUAAAGGGCCUCUGUCACUGCUCAUACUCACUCUGAGGACAUAUAACCAGGUCACUAUGCACACUAGAGAACCCAGACUUGCCUCAGGAGUGCCUCCGGUCGCCUGUUUACUACCAUACUUCCAGCCACAUAGAAAUGAGUCAUCGCCUAGAUCUUUGGUGUCAGUUUUCCCAUCUAUACAAUGGGGGCAUUAGCUCCAAGCGUGGACGCCAUGAUAAGAUACAUGACACUUAAGAAGGCUUCAUGUCAGUGUAAGUGCCCGACAGAUGAACAGUCCUUUGAGGGGGGCGUGAGGGUGAUUAUAGGCAAGAUGGAGAAGAAGACUCAGAGACAAAAGUUAGAAAUCGGAAGGGCUCUCCAGUGAAUACUGUGGCAGCUCCGAGUUUAAUUCUCAUAGGUUUUAUAUGCUUUGCAGUAUCAUGGGAAACAAAGUCACAGGCUAGCAGAGACAAUGGCUGACAUACAUUGGAUAUCUGUUCCCAUCUGUUCCUAUCCCUGUUCCUUUCUCCAAGAUUAACAGAACAUCUAGCUCCUUGCCUUGAGCUUCAAGUGCGUUCCCUCUUAUCCUUUCCAAGUAAUGUGCCAGCAGACCCUGGCCUGCCUUGAUUCUGCCUUGAUUCACAGAAGCAGGCAAAAUGGCUCCUAACAUUUCUUGUCUCCCAAGUACCCAGUAAAUACUGUCACUUAUUUAACCUCUCCUUAGUAGGCUUCUCAAAACCUGCUUUAAUACAUAUACUUAAAUGCUUUAACAGGUAGUGGGAAGGACAGGUUGACAGGGCAAAGAGUGGAGGAUGUGGACUUGUUUAGAAGCAGUUCUUUGGGAUGAAUUAAAUCUGCAUUGUCAGGAUAUCAGCAGUUCAGUUCAUGCAAAUCAGCAGCGGUAGUAAUGAGCGAGAUCCACUUGCAAACACCACUUGUGAAUCAGCAACAGCAGUUCCAUCCAGAAGAAACCUCGAGAGGCUCUGCUGAUUGGCCCCAGUCUGUAGAAGUGGUAAGAAGCCACCACCAGAAGUUCUUUGGUAUGUUUUUCCUCUACAAAGUCAGGACAAAUGAUGAUCAGAAAUAGUGGCAAGGCAAACCAAUACCACACACCAUCAUCCAUUGGCUGUCAGGUUAUAUUUAUACCCUUUCCAAAUAUCACAUGUUCUCUCAAGCAUCUCCUCUACCAGAGCAUCACAUGCUGCUCUUUUUCCCCGGCCGCUUCCAGAAAACCACCAUGUGUCUGUUCUCCACGAAACAUCCUCCCACGUGUCUGCUUACACAAAAACAUGCUCUCAUAACAUAGCUUCCAGAGAAACAGCACAUGACACAACUGAGUCUCCAAGGAGACCCAAAACUUCUAUUUCACUCCCUAGGUUUCCUAAUCACAUAUUCUAGGCAAAAAGACUCUGCACAGUUGUUUUGUAGGUAAACUUUAACCUGCUUCAACCCUGAGGCAUUCAUAUGCACCCUGUCCAUUUGGGACCCCCUCCACCAGCUCAUGUCUAAGGCAUCUGUAUGCGGGUGAUUUGUGUUGAUUUCUACAAAGAGUUCAGACUCUAUCUGCUCCUCUUCUGUUGUCUGGAUAAAGUACCAAGACCAAGGCAACUUACCGGAAAAAGGAGUUUAUUUUGGCUUACAGUUACAGAGGGGAUCCAUGGUAGCAAACAGCAGGCCUACCAGCAGGAGCAUGAAGCCAACAGUCCACAUGCAAAGGCAAGCUGGAAGCAGAGAAAGCAGGCUGGAGCAGGUUUUUACUCUCAAAGCUCACUCCCAGUUCAUACUUUCACCACCUAAGCCUCCUGGAACAGCACCACCUACUGGAAAUCAGGUGGUUCAAGUGCCCCACUCAGACUGUAGGAGACCUUUCUCAUUCAAAUCACCAACCACAUAGAUGCUAUUAACAGGAAAGUGGUUGGUUAAGUGAAAUGAUUAGCUUAGCCCAAGACCUCUUCACACUGGUCAGGAAUGAUGCAGAUUCUGUAGAGCUAGUCAAUUAGGUCAAGUUCUCUUGCAUAAAAUAUGUUUAUAAAUAUCCCCAUGGAGGACCAGGGUAUGCAUUUACUGUGACCGGAAAGAAAGGAUGAGUUAAAGAUGUAGAAGCUUAAUGGGUACUGAUUUAACAAGCUGUAAUUCAAACACCUGCGAAUUACCACCCUCCAUGGCAAGAGCGUCUGAAGUCACUAUUAAGGAAAAUUAGUAUCCAUUUAACUGUCACCCAAAUUGGGGAAAAUAUACAGCUCAAAAAUGAUCACACCGAGCCAGGAAUUGGGCCUAAAACAGUGUAUCGGGCUGUUCUGUUUUGACACAUGCCUAAAUUGUUGUGUUUAUAUGGCUCUUAGCUCCAGGAUAGCAUUCAAAUAUAGAUAAAAAAGACAUCCUUCGAUUCAUUAAUUUAAGUAGAUAACAGAUUGCUUUGUGGAUCAGAAUCUACAAAAACUAUAUUCUGAAGAUUAAUUUUAAUUGGAAUGCUUGGGGGGGAAAUAUCGGAACGUGGAGAUAAGCACUUCUGGCCUCUUUUCAGCCUGGGAAAACUGCAGACCUCAGUUGGCACAUGGUUCAGCUCAGAACCACAGAAGUCACACUUGUCCUUUGAAGUUCUCUUAGCAUCCCACCAAAUGGAACCAAGUGAAGCCAAUUCCAAUACAGUGUUUUAUUGAAUUCUCUCAUCUGUGCCACAUCGCACCUCCGAUGUGUUGUCAUUUCUGCAGUCAAUCAACUCAGCUAAGAGUGUCAAAGAUGCUUUUUGAAAAUGUUCUUCUUUUCAUGCCAAGUCUUUGAAUGCUUACGGUCCUGGGUUAGCCUUCUGCUGAUGGGACAAACCAUGACCAGAAGCAACAUCAGAGAGACAGGGGUCUAUUUGGCUUCUACUUCCAGAGAGGAUAGUGCCCAUCAUGGUUGAGAAGGCAUGGUAGAAGGGGGUGAGGCCAAUAGGGCAGUCAGGAAGUAGAGCAAUCAGGAUAUUCACACACAGAGAAAGCAGAUGGAUAGAGAACAGGAAGUAGAGCCCAGUAAGAAACCACCCCCUAGUGACACACUUCCUCCAGUAAGGUCCCACUUCCUACAGGUUCCAUUACCUGCUCUGUACAGCAUCACCAACUGGAGACCAAGUGUCCAAACACAUGAGCCUGAUGGGCAUAUUCUCAUUCAAACCACAAGCAUCAAUGUGAGCAUCCAUUUUUACAGUGCUCCCUAGUCAUUGGUGGCAUUAAGGUACACAUGAGACGUAAUUGUCCUUGGAGUCCAUAAGAGCAAGUGUAUAUUUUGACAGGAGGAUGACAGAGCCAGUCACUGAGUAUUUACCCCCACAGAGUGCGCACUCGUGAAUCAUUUCUCCAGCCUCUCCAGCCACACUGCGCCUAGAAAAUCUCAGGCCCAUUUUAUAGAUAUGGAAGUAGAUCAGUGAGACAAGUGUCUGCCUCUGAGAUAAGUGGCAGAGCCAGGGGGUGUAAGCUGAGACUUCUGCUUGAGCAUGGUCACUGCCGUCCCUGUGGUGAUGUCAUUUGCGGUGUCUCCACUGCUCUCUGCUAGCCAGUGAACACAAGAGAAGACGGAAAGAAAAUAAAAAUGUGUUGAGGAAUAAAUACGGAUCCAGCAUUGUGCAGGGCCCCUAAUAAAUGUUUUAGGUCAUUAGACAAGUCUUGUGCUGUCGGAACACUUUUGAAAAUUCUUUCCCCUUGAAGAGAAGCUUAGGGAAGAAGAACAUCAUUGGAACAACAUAAUGCUUUUUCUAUAAAUGCUUCUAAGCCAGAAACCAUAUUCGUCUUCAAAGUUAAGUCUGGGCAAAAUGCCUCCCAUUCAUCAAUUAUAUCUAAUCUUAUAAAUGAUAAUUUCCCAUUUUAUUUUCACGUGCGAUUGUCUGAUUCAAUCCUCACAAGAACGUCCUGGGGCAGCUAGUGCUUCCCUCUGUUGAUUCCAGAGAUCUGAGGCGCACAGACCUAAGGUCUUGAGUCGUGAAGCUGCUCACUGGCAUACUUCAUAUUCAAACCCACAGUGAUGUCCAAAUCCAUUGUUCCGACCAUUGUUAGAUUCCACAACAGCCACAUAGGACUUUGAAGUGAACAGAAUAUGGGAUUUUCGAGAGGUGAAACUUUCCUCGCUGUCUGAUAGAAUAGGAUAAACAGAUAAAAGGCAUAUUUCUUAGGCUUUCCCGGGCAGUUCUACUCCACCACCUUUUUACGGUUACCAUAAAUCAAUCACUGGAGACAUCUGAACCGGAGCCCCGGAAACAAUGACCUCCCUUUCAGAUCAAGCCUUCCCUCAAACUCCUAGGGAAGUUCUGUGAAGAGGCCUGCCCACUGUGAGCUAGGUCUGCAGUCAGCACACAGUUAGCUGUUCCUCUCAGAAAUGGCAGGGAGAAAGUUCAAAGUGCAGAGAAGUAAAACCACUCCAAAAGAAGGAUGCUUUAAGAAGUCCUGAGACAGGGGCCUGAGCCCUGAGCUAUUGUGGUGGUGCGCUGCUUCCUUGUUUGUUUCUAAAGGUUCUCCAUGAAGUUUUCUUCAUGUAUAAUGGCACCUUGGGGAUAAAUACCUUGAAGCUGAGGGGCGGGACACAAAGGUUCCGAUGUGAGGUCCCAGUCUCUGAACAGACCACAGGCUGUCACCGUUUGGCUAAAGACCCUGAGAUUAAGAAAAAGGAUAGAUUGCACAUCAGUUAUAUCUUUCUCAUAUUGUAGCAUAUGGAACAAUCAAAUUGCAUGGUCUAGCUCACCAGAUUUCCCACCUAGCUAUAAGCCUGUUCUCUGAUAUGAUUUGCUGCAGAUGCCAGUAUUAGAACUCCUCCCUGGUCGCCCUGUGGGUACUGUGUGAUCAUCUCUCACUUGUUGAAAUAGAGCCAAGUCUAGACUCGAGGUACUGCACAGACAAGCGGGAAGUGCUUGUGUCCUGCCGUGGAUUUCAUCGUGUUAAAGCUGGCAUCUUUCUGGUCCUUCUUGUGAAGUUGUACCACUUGCCUGGAAUCUUUAGAGGUGCGACAUUAAAAAAAAUAACGGUAAGAAUCUGGGGUGCUAGCUCAGUUGAUAAAGUGUGAACCAUGAAAGCACCGGGACCUGGGUUCAAGUUUCCAUGUAAAAAGCUGAUAGGUGUAGCAUGCUCCUGGAAUAGCAGUACUGGGAGGCAGACACAGAUCUCUGGACCUCACUGCCAGGAGGUCCAGCUGAACUGUGAGCGGCAGGCUCAGUGUGAGGUCCCACCUCAAUCCCCUGAGAAAGGAGGGAUAGAAGAAGACACCUAACUGUGUCCUCUGUCCUCCAGAUGCAAGCAUGACACACACAUAGCAAGAAUUCCCACCCACAUCCCCCUGGGGCCCUUAACAGAGACUGACACUAUUACUUGUGGAAUUGUGUUUUCAAAAUAAGACCAGAAGCAGCAAAUGGGAUGGCAAAUUUUGUGUGCAUGAUCAUCGGAGGGUGCAACAGCUGCUGCUUUUUAAAGCGGAAAACAAAUUUUGCAAACUGUCCUUUUUCUCCACCCCACCCUCCUCUCCCAGGCAGAGAAAUAUCAAUUCUCAAAAAAAAAAUUCACUUUCAAAAUUGUAUUCAGUAGCAGAACAGAACCUACACAUAGGCAGAAAAAAAUAUCAUAGAAGCACAGAGAUGUGACCUUAAAGCCCUUGGCAAUUUCUGGUCUCCUGGGACCGGAAGGCACAGCCAGUGGCAGGGAGAAGAGGCUCUAUGGAGGAGGAAACAGGACUUCUAAGAUUGCUCACUGCCAUAGAGAUGCACAAGGCUUGCCACUGCUUUGGGAAAGCACCCUCUUUGAUCACUGGCUGCUCUGACCACCUCCCACACUCUCAAGUGACCCCCAGCCAUUGCCCCAGCAUCUUACAGUUCAGAGGGAAGGGGUGGUACCUUCCCCCAUAGCUCUUAUUCUCCUUGUCAAUCACAAGAGCCAUGGCCUGUGAUCUCAGGAUGGGGUGCUGUGCUAUUGCCCAUGGAUGCAGUUUCUCCUGGCUCCCAGCUUUUUAUGGAAAUCAGCCACCACCUUCAGCUCUCUCUCUCUCUUUUGGCAACAAAUCCUUUGACAAAAAAAGUGUGCACCGCCAACCAAACCCUUCAUCAUGUCAGGAAAAUCGGGCUUCUGCUGACAACUUUUUACAGCUUCUUUCCUUUGAAGAUAGAAAGCUGUAAACAAAGGCAGUUCUCUGAGAUACCCAGGCUGUGACUGAAAAUCUAAACAGGCUUUUUUUGGAGGGUCACCCUCUGUUCCCUGGUCAUUGCUCUCAUUCUGAAUAUGGUAUGUUGACUAGCUUUAGCUCCUCCUCCUCCUCCUCCUCCUCCUCUUCCUCCUCCUCCUCCUCUUCCUCUUCCUCCUCCUCCUUCUUCUUCUCUUCAAAGCCUUAAGAGGCAAGCCAGGGAAUCAUGCUCCAUCAUUUGUCUCCCUGUACUGUCCAUUCUUCUAAACCCUGGUUAACACUGAUACUUGAGACCUGAUUACCCUUUCAGUCCACUUCCCUUAUUCAAUUUGGUCCUUGUUAGCAAUGCUGAGCCCCCUCAAAGAGCAUGGCUUCCUUAGCUGUGAUUUCCUAUAUCUCUCUAGAGGUGGAGGAAACAAAACAAAAACAAAAAAAAAAAAAACAAAGAAGAAGAAGAAGAAGAAGAAGAAGAAGAAGAAGAAGAAGAAGAAGAAGAAGAAGAAGAAGAAGAAGAAGAAAAAGAAGGUUGGUUCAGAAACUAAAUUUUAAGAGAAGAAACUUGAGAUGAAGAGAUGGCUCAGUAGUUAAUAGCACUGACUGCUCUUCCAGAGGUCCUGAGUUCAAUUCCUAACAACCACAUGGUAGCUCAUACAACCAUUUGUAAUGGGAUCCUAUGCCCUCUUCUGUGUGUCUAAAGAGAGCAACAGUGUACUUACAUAAAAGAAAUCUUUUAAAGGGGGAAGAAGAGGAAGAAGUAGAGGAGAAGGAGGAGGAGAAGAAAAAGAAAAGGAGGAGGAGGAGGGAGGAGAAAGAAGGAGGAGGAAGGAGGAGGAGGAGAUGAUGAUACCUUAUGGACUACAGAUGUGGCCUUGCAUGCUGGGGUACUUGCCUGUUGUGAAUGAAGCCCUGUGUUCAAACUGUAGCACAGCUAAAAUGGAAGUGUCACAGGCCUGUGGUCCCAGGACUUGGCAGGUACAGGCAGGACAAUCAGAAGUUCAAGGUCAAUAGUGUUCAAGGCCAAUCUGGGCCACAUGAAACCCUUAUAAAAGGAAGGGAAGGGGAGGGAAGGGGAGGGGAGGGGAGGGGAGAGGGAAAGGGAGGGGGAAGGGGAGGGGGAAGAGGGAAGGGAAGGGAAGGGAAGGGGAAGGGGAAGGGGAAGGGGAAGGGAAGGGAAGGGAAGGGGAAGGGGAAGGGGAGGCUGUUUUAGACAGUACAACAGAUGAUGAAACUUUGCAUUUCAGAGGGUGAGGACUGACUGACACAGUCACUGAUAGAAAUACAGCGCUUGACACAGUGUGCCAAGUUAUUUAUUCAGUGGAAUGAAUAAACUGUCAGUGGAAUGAAUAUUGCCGUUGAUCACGAGGACCCUGGCCAAGCUUCUUCAGCACACUCCGCACUGUGGUCUUGUAUGAAGCCAGCUAACCUUCACCACAGCUCUGCAAAAUGGGUGCUGCUGUCUUUACUUUAUAGAUAGAUGCAACAAGGGCCUAUGACAUGCCCAAGGUCACAGAGCUAGAAGCCCCUGGAGCCUAGCAUUCUAUUCACAAGCUUUUAUAAAAAGCACUCACAGGCUCAGUUUAUCCUUUUGAGCCAAAGGGAUGGAGAUGAACUGAAUGUUACACGAGUGAAGGAAGUUAGGGGAGCGACUGCACCCAGAAGGUUUCCACAGCAACCUCUGUCAACCUUGAACAUGGAUUCUACACACAGUCCAUGGACCACGCUGAUUGCUGUCCUCCCGGGGAUAGAGAUGGGGAUCUGAGGACGUGUGUCCUGGAUUUCACAGCUCUGGGCUUCAUGUAUGACAGGCUUGGGAUGCAAGACUGACCCUCAGACAUUUUCAUGGAUAGGAUGGAGUUGAUACAGAAUCAAUACGCACAGAUACAAACUCUCCCUCGGGGCAGAGCUUCUGACAAUCAGGAUGCACACUGUGGUCAGGGCCCCAUGCCAGCUUCCUCGCUGUGAGUGUCUCCACUUCCUGCUUCUCUUAAUGUUCAUCCUUAAUUUGUGGCUGAUCACCUGAAGCGCCACCUUAAGACUUUUCUUUUUGACCUAAGCUGUUAGUCCAGAUCAGCCUCCUGCAGUUUUCCAUGACUAGCUCUGGCCAAGUUCAGAGUUGUAAGUUCUUGAGCUUGCACAACCCCAUCUCCUGUCUCCUGUCACUGAACAGCUUUCUCACUCUCUCCUCCCUGAGGAAGCCUAACUCCUCCUCUUCCUCCUCCUCCUCCUCCUCCUCUUCUUCCUCCUCCAUCACCACUCUUGACAUAUUUUUUAGAACCUUGGCCACCUCUGUCUUCCAUUCAGUAUGUUUAAUUGUUCUCUCCUGGGCUCCCCGCCCCUGCCCGCAUGCUCAGACCACCCCAUGCUAAAAUAAAUCCUCCAAGGGCCAUUUCUUGUUGUUUUGCCCGUCCCUUCACCAGUCAGAGAUCACUCUUCCCCCAUCCCUUGCUUCACUGCCCACUCUUACCUUAGUAAUACAAAGAGAGUCCCGACCCUCACCAUUUUCCUAAAACUGUUGUCUUAGGAAAGUUAUAGGCACCAAAAUAGCUGAGUUCUUUAGCUUUUUUGAGUCCCAACCUGCUUGGAUUCUUGGAAGCAUUUGAUAGGUUAGUAUUAAUGUUUAUUUUGUUGGCAGUCACAUAGCAUAAAGUUUGCCAUGUUGAGUGUCUCCCUCUCCCUCUCCCUCUCCCUCUCCCUCUCCCUCUCCCUCUCCCUCUCCCUCUCCCUCUCCCUCUCUCUCUCUCUCUCUCUCUCUCUCUCUCUCUCUCUCUCUCUCUCUCUCUCUGUGUGUGUGUGUUGGAAUACCUAUAUCUGCUUCCUUGUGUGUUAUUCAGCUGGCAGUAUACCUGCUGGCUUAUGUAUUAAGUCUGUAUUUCCCAUUUUGCAAAACUAACAUGUUUUUCCACAGAAGUUGAACCAUUUUCCAUUUCUAUUAAAUAACUUGACAAUUUGGUUCAUUAAAGUGUUCUCCACUGUGCACGGGGGAUUCCGCUGCCCUUGCUCUCCCCUUUCAGGUACCUGACAAUCACGUCUCUCCAUGUCUAACACCUUGUCUUCUUUGUCUUCUUCUUCAUGUACUGUAUCGAGUACCUAUCAAUAUUCUUUCCUGGUUUUCCUCUUCUGUUUUCUACCUUCUUCAGCAACAUCACCCAACAUACAAGAUCCUUGUAUCUAUCUGUUGGAAUGUCAUUUCCACGUAUAGUCAUAGUCACCUCUCAAAGUUUGCGUGUGUGUGUGUGUGUGUGUGUGUGUGUGCAUGUGUGCAUGUGUUCAUGGGUGCAUGUGUGGUCACUCACUCCCAUGAGUGCCUGAGCUUCAUUUUCUGCGAUACGUUGUUUCUCAAUAUUGGGUCAGAUCUUCCUAGGCACACAGUCUUGGCUCUGUCUUUGGUUCACCAUCACUUGAGAGAUGAUACUGGGCUUCCCUCUAUCUUCUAUGUUUUAUCUUUCCUGAAUAUUUUCUGUUUCAGCACUCAGGUUGUUUUAGACAUCAUCUCCUCCUUUCUGGCAAUGAUGGGGAGUCUUGAGUCUGGCCUCUGUCCUUCCCUUGUGGUGCAUCAACACGUCCAUUAGCGCUAAUUGACUCUUUGCUGUAUAUCUGGGAUCAUGCCAUGUCUUAUUCUCAAGCUAUCAGUUUUCAGGGCCUACUGGGAAGCAUUCAGAGGAACUCUAAACAUCUCUGUCACUGCUCCCAUAACUCGGGCGAUUCUCUCAUCAGAAAAUACUGGUUGUCUUACAUGUUUACUCAAAAUGACAUGGACCCUUCCAUAUCUUCUCCAGGGAUAGAUCAUGUGAGCUGUGUGGAAUUAGAGGAACGAGGAGGUAUGAAUAUAGUUUGGUGGUUGCUCAUGUUUGGAGAAGGGAGAUUGUGCAUAGAAAGCUUAGUAGAUUAAGGGAUUCCUUUUGGAGUGAUAACAAAUAUCGGGAGGUGUGACAUGGAUAGAACCAUUAACUCCUGACUGUUUGCAUUUAUGUGUGUGUGAAUGCACAUGUGUGUGAGUGUGCAAGUGUGUGCGUUUGUGUGUGUACAUGUAUUCUUGUGUGUACAUUUGUGUGUGUGUGUGUGUGUGUGUGUGUAUGUGUAUGUGUGUGUGUGUGUGUGAGAACAGCUUGCAAGAGUCAGUUCUUUCCUAUCACUUGCAUCCUAAAGAUCAAAGUCAGGCCGUCAAGCUUGGUAACAAACUGCUCUACCUACUGAGAUGUCUCUCCAGCCCUUGGCUUAUCAUUUAAUAUUGUAUAAUUUUUAGGAAUCAAAUAGGCCAAGAGGUAUUUAUGGAGUUUCUUUCUUUUCUUCUUUUCUUAAAAAAAUUUUUUUACUCAUCUUUGAAAUAUAUUUCAUACAUUUAUAGCCAUGUUUCUUGAUCAUAGGUACCCAUAGUUUCCUCCCUUUUAACUUCCCCUGGUGCUCCCACCCUACUGUCCUCCCAAUUACCUCUCCUCCUAUUCUUGUAAUUAGCAAUCACCUGAGUCCAAUCAGUGAUGCCCAUAUGUUUAUGAGUGAGAAGCCAUUCACCCGGUCAUCAGCAUCCUACCAGAGUCCAUGUCCCCAAAGGAGAGUGACUCUCCCUCCACCUGCAGCCAUCAACUGCUCUCCUUUUUAAUUCAUAAUUAAUCAUGGUAGAGAUAAGUCAUAAGAAGCACGAUAUACUUGCAGGGCUUUUAAGUGACACAGUUGACCCUGCUUGGACCUAAGAGCUGUGCAGUCUGCAGCUCACCUAGAUGUUCUGCCUCUCGCCUAGGGUAGAUUAACAUCAUCGUGGAAAUCUGGGCUCUUUGGCCAUCUAUGGUGAAAAGUCUUCUGUCAACUUGACACACGAACUAGAGUCAUCUGAAAGGGCAGAAACUCAAUUGAGAAAAUGCCUCCAUAAUAUGUAACUGUAGGGCAUUUUCUUAAAUAGCAGUUGGUGGCAGAGGGUCCAGCCCAUUGUAGGCAGUCCCAUUCCUCAGAUGAUGGCCCUGGGUUCUAUAAGAAAGCAGACUGAGCAAGCCAUGGGGAAGAAGCCAGUAAGAAACAUCCCUCCAUGACCUCUGCAUCAGCUCCUGCCUCCAGGUCCCCGCCCUGCUUGAGUUCCUGUCCUGCCUUCCUUUGAUGUAGAGAGAUAAGCCAGAUAAACCUUUCUCUCUCCCACCUGCUUUGCUCAUGGCAUUUCAUCAGAGCAAUGGUAACCCUAACUAAAGCACCAACUUAGCCAAAUCUUAGCUGGUAUCUUCCUACUAUCAGAUAUUGCUGUCAGGUAUAGCUUGCAAUGACUGUAUUAUUGUUUAUUGAAUUAGCAUGGAUAAAGUAUUCAAAUCACUGGGAAGUCGAAAAUCGAAAAAAA